rnacentral:RNase_P_RNA from 2 species
GCAGAUUCAAGAUUAUGAUGCUCAUCACGUACAAGACACUUCCAAUGUCUUCUCUCACGAGCGGGCCAAGGUCUGAGCUUAUCUCCCACAUCGGUCCUAGCAGGUCCUGGUCUUUACGGACUCACGCGACGUACCAGAAAUCCGUUCAUUCCUUGCUCCUUACACCCCACGAUCUUGUCUUUUCAUACGUUCUGUGCUUGCUAUAGCUGGCCUGCCGUUACUGGGAGGGUAAAGGAGGGUUCUUUGCAUCGAAUCCGAACUUGAAACCGUCGCGGAGAUUCGAGCAUCCAGCUCGUCACUCAUCGCAUCGCGCUUCCUACCAUACGUACCACCGGCACCGUCAUACCACUCCCAGGCGAUGUAUGGAGUGGGGAGGGGAGAUCUCCUGUGUCUCCCUCUUCUAAAUGACUUAAAGACAGUGCACAUGUUUUCAUGGGGUUGCUGGACGCGUACGUUGGUCCCGUGGGCGUGCAGACUUGGAGUCUCGCGUUCGGUUCCAUAAGACGUACAGUGCACGGGGAACGUAUUGAAGCGCGAUGCAAUGUUUUGAGCGGGUUGCUCUUGAGUGCAAUUCAUGGUAGCUGCUCCUCCACUUGUUUGGAGAGCGGUCAACUCGAUUCAGACUACUCUGGGUCUGC